rnacentral:rRNA from 1 species
UACGUAGGUGGCAAGCGUUUGUCCGGAAUUAUUGGGCGUAAAGCGCGCGCAGGCGGUCCUUUAAGUCUGAUGUGAAAGCCCACGGCUCAACCGUGGAGGGUCAUUGGAAACUGGGGGACUUGAGUGCAGGAGAGAAGAGUGGAAUUCCACGUGUAGCGGUGAAAUGCGUAGAGAUGUGGAGGAACACCAGUGGCGAAGGCAGCUUCUAGGCUGUAACUGACGCUGAGGCACGAAAGUGUGGGGAUCAAACAGG